GUAGGUGAACCAGCGGAGGGAUCAUUACCGAGUUUACAACUCCCAAACCCCUGUGAACAUACCAUUUGUUGCCUCGGCGGUGCCUGCUUCGGCAGCCCGCCAGAGGACCCAAACCCUUGAUUUUAUACAGUAUCUUCUGAGUAAAUGAUUAAAUAAAUCAAAACUUUCAACAACGGAUCUCUUGGUUCUG
rnacentral:misc_RNA from 1 species